AUCGAACGCUGGCGGCAGGCCUAACACAUGCAAGUCGAGCGAGCGGCGGAAGGGUGAGUAAUGUAUGGGGACUGCCCGCUAGAGGGGGAUAACUACUGGACACGGUAGCUAAUACCGCAUACUAUCGGAUAACCCAUAUGGGAUGAGCUAGUAGGUGAGGUAAUGGCUCACCUAGGCGACGAUCCCUAGCUGGUCUGAGAGGAUGAUCAGCCACACUGGGACUGAGACACGGCCCAGACUCCUACGGAGGCAGCAGUGGGGAAUAUUGGACAAUGGGCGCAAGCCUGAUUCAGCCAUGCCGCGUGUAUGAAGAAGGCCCUAGGUUUGGAAAGUACGUUCAGUCGGGAGGCGUUACCGACAGAAGAAGCACCGGCUAACUCCGUGCCAGCAGCCGCGGUAAUAC
rnacentral:rRNA from 1 species